rnacentral:rRNA from 1 species
CCUACGGGAUGCAGCAGUGAGGAAUAUUGCGCAAUGGGGGAAACCCUGACGCAGCGACGCCGCGUGAGUGAGGAAGGCCUUCGGGUCGUAAAGCUCUGUCAGAUGGGAAGAAGUGGUUGAGCGCUAAUACCGCUUAUCCUUGACGGUACCAUCAGAGGAAGCACCGGCCAACUCCGUGCCAGCAGCCGCGGUAAUACGGAGGGUGCAAGCGUUGUUCGGAAUUAUUGGGCGUAAAGCGCGUGUAGGCGGUAGGAUAAGUCAGAUGUGAAAGCCCUGGGCUCAACCCAGGAAGUGCAUUUGAAACUGUCCUGCUAGAGUGAGGGAGAGGAAAGUGGAAUUCCUGGUGUAGAGGUGAAAUUCGUAGAUAUCAGGAGGAACACCGGUGGCGAAGGCGGCUUUCUGGCCCUUCACUGACGCUGAGACGCGAAAGCGUGGGGAGCAAACAGGAUUAGAUACCCUUGUAGUC